rnacentral:rRNA from 1 species
AUUGAACGCUGGCGGCAGGCUUAACACAUGCAAGUCGAGCGGAGUGAUGGUGCUUGCACUAUCACUUAGCGGCGGACGGGUGAGUAAUGCUUAGGAAUCUGCCUAUUAGUGGGGGACAACAUCUCGAAAGGGAUGCUAAUACCGCAUACGUCCUACGGGAGAAAGCAGGGGAUCUUUAUGACCUUGCGCUAAUAGAUGAGCCUAAGUCGGAUUAGCUAGUUGGUGGGGUAAAGGCCUACUAAGGCGACGAUAUGUAGCGGGUCUGAGAGGCUGAUCCGCCACACUGGGACUGAGACACGGCCCAGACUCCUCCGGGAGGCGGCAGUGGGGAAUAUUGGACAAUGGGGGGUACCCUGAGCCAGCCAUGCCGCGUGUGUGAAGAAGGCCUUAUGGUUGUAAAGCACUUUAAGCGAGGAGGAGGCUUACCUAGUUAAUACCUGGGAUAAGUGGACGUUACUCGCAGAAUAAGCACCGGCUAACUACGUGCCAGCCGCCGCCGUAA